AUUGAACGCUGGCGGCAGGCUUAACACAUGCAAGUCGAGCGGAGAUGAGGUGCUUGCACCUUAUCUUAGCGGCGGACGGGUGAGUAAUGCUUAGGAAUCUGCCUAUUAGUGGGGGACCACAUUCCGAAAGGAAUGCUAAUACCGCAUACGUCCUACGGGAGAAAGCAGGGGAUCUUCGGACCUUGCGCUAAUAGAUGAGCCUAAGUCGGAUUAGCUAGUUGGUGGGGUAAAGGCCUACCAAGGCGACGAUCUGUAGCGGGUCUGAGAGGAUGAUCCGCCACACUGGGACUGAGACACGGCCCAGACUCCUACGGGAGGCAGCAGUGGGGAAUAUUGGACAAUGGGGGGAACCCUGAUCCAGCCAUGCCGCGUGUGUGAAGAAGGCCUUAUGGUUGUAAAGCACUUUCAGUAGGGAGGAAGGGUUAAGUGUUAAUAGUACUUAACUUUGACGUUACCUACAGAAGAAGCACCGGCUAACUCUGUGCCAGCCGCCGCUGUAACAC
rnacentral:rRNA from 1 species